CCUACGGGUGGCAGCAGUGAGGAAUAUUGGUCAAUGGGCGCGAGCCUGAACCAGCCAAGUAGCGUGAAGGAUGACUGCCCUACGGGUUGUAAACUUCUUUUAUAAAGGAAUAAAGUGAGGCACGUGUGCCUUUUUGUAUGUACUUUAUGAAUAAGGAUCGGCUAACUCCGUGCCAGCAGCCGCGGUAAUACGGAGGAUCCGAGCGUUAUCCGGAUUUAUUGGGUUUAAAGGGAGCGUAGAUGGGUUGUUAAGUCAGUUGUGAAAGUUUGCGGCUCAACCGUAAAAUUGCAAUUGAUACUGGCAGCCUUGAGUACAGUUGAGGUAGGCGGAAUUCGUGGUGUAGGAGUGAAAUCCGUAGAUAUCUGGAGGAACAUCAGUGGCGAAGGCGACUAUCUGGCACAUAACUGACGCUGAGGAGCGAAAGCGUGGGUAGCAAACAGGAUUAGAUACCCGUGUAGUC
rnacentral:rRNA from 1 species